AUGAACACUUCAUCAUUUGUGGCCUCUUACAUUAAUGAGCUGCAGCAGCUUGAAAAACCCGAGAAGCAUCACAUACAGGCAGCCGCAACGAGAGGAGGGCCAAGGACAUGGCUAGCUUCACCUGUUCGGUUUGCGAAAAUCAAUGUUGAUGGAGCUGUUGCGCGCCAUAAACGUGGCGGGGCAGUUUCUGCGGUGUGUCGAGACCACACAGGUUUAUACUUGGGCUCUUCGGCGGCAGUCUACCGAGGCAUUACUGAUCCCACAACCCUGGAAACGUUUGCGUGCAGGGAGGCGUUAGUUCUUGCAGAGGAUCUUCAGGUGACAAACAUGAUGGUCGCCUCGGAUUGCAAAGGAGUGGUACUGGAUAUAAACGAAGGGACAGGAGGUCCGCACUCGGCUAUUGUACAUGAAAUAAUGCAAUGGAGAAGCACUUUCGACUCGGUUUCUUUUGUUUUUGAGCGUAGAAAUCACAACUUCGAGGCUCACAAUCUCGCCAAGUUCACUUGUAAUUUAGGGAUAGGUCGGCAUGUUUGGCUGGGAGUCCCCCAUCACCAGCAUCGCGUACCUAUGAACAUUGCUAUUAUCUAA
rnacentral:rRNA from 1 species